UACGUAGGGGGCUAGCGUUGUCCGGAAUCAUUGGGCGUAAAGCGCGUGUAGGCGGUUCGGUAAGUCUGCUGUGAAAGUCCAGGGCUCAACCCUGGGAUGCCGGUGGAUACUGUCGGACUAGAGUACGGAAGAGGCGAGUGGAAUUCCCGGUGUAGCGGUGAAAUGCGUAGAUAUCGGAAGGAACACCGGUGGCGAAAGCGGCGCGCUGGAUCCCUACUGACGCUGAGGCACGAAGCCAGGGAGCAAACGGG
rnacentral:rRNA from 1 species